rnacentral:rRNA from 1 species
CCUACGGGAUGCAGCAGUGGGGAAUAUUGGGCAAUGGGCGCAAGCCUGACCCAGCGACGCCGCGUGAGGGAAGACGGUCUUCGGAUUGUAAACCUCUUUCAGCAGGGAAGACAAAAGGACGGUACCUGCAGAAGAAGCAACGGCUAACUACGUGCAAGCAGCCGCGGUAAUACGUAGGUGGCAAGCGUUGUCCGGAUUUACUGGGUGUAAAGGGCGUGCAGCCGGAGAGACAAGUCAGAUGUGAAAUCCACGGGCUCAACCCGUGAACUGCAUUUGAAAAUGGUUCCCUUGAGUGUCGGAGAGGUAAUCGGAAUUCCUUGUGUAGCGGUGAAAUGCGUAGAUAUAAGGAAGAACACCAGUGGCGAAGGCGGAUUACUGGACGAUAACUGACGGUGAGGCGCGAAAGCGUGGGGAGCAAACAGGAUUAGAUACCCCUGUAGUC